CAGCCGCCGCAGUAAUACCGGCGGCCCGAGUGGCGGUCACUAUUAUUGGGCUUAAAGCGUCCGUAGCCGGGGUGGGAAGUCCUCCGGGAAAUCUGGCCGCUUAACGGUCAGAAUGCCGGAGGAUACUCCCAGCCUAGGGAGCGGGAGAGGCCGAGGGGAUUCCCGGAGUAGGGGGGAAAUCCUAUAAUCCCGGGAGGACCACCUGUGGCGAAGGCGCUCGGCUGGAACGCGUCCGACGGUGAGGGACGAAGGCCAGGGGAGCAAACCGGAUUAGAUACCCGGGUAGUCCUGGCUGUAAACGAUGCGGACUUUGUGUCGGACAAGCUAUGAGCUUGUCCGGUGCCGGAGGGAAACCGUUAAGUCCGCCGCCUGGGGAGUACGGCCGCAAGGCUGAAACUUAAAGGAAUUGGCGGG
rnacentral:rRNA from 1 species